UUGCUAUGCCGAAGCGGCAGGAUGAGAACCUGCAGCAGCUUCGGGGCGAACGCAGGCGAGACAACGUUGCCUCUGGCAACGGCCCGCAGGGCGAGGCAAAGCCGAGUCAUCCUGCCGCCCGGUUAU
rnacentral:sRNA from 1 species